rnacentral:rRNA from 1 species
GAUGAACGCUGGCGGCGUGCCUAAUACAUGCAAGUUGAGCGAACAAAGGAGGUACUUGUACCUAUUAGAUUAGCAGCGGACGGGUGAGUAACACGUGGAGAACCUGCCUUUGAGCGUGGGAUAACUUCGGGAAACCGAAGCUAAUACCGGAUAAUAUCUUUAAACACAAGGUUCAAGAUUGAAAGAUGGAUUUGCUGUAACUUAUGAAUAGAUCCGGUCGUAUUAAGCUAGUUGUGAGGGUAACGCCCAACAAAGGCAACAAUGAGAAGCCGACUGGGGAGGUUGACGGGCCACACUGGAACUGAGAAACGCCCCAGAUCCCAAGGGGAGGCAGCGGUAGGGAACUUCGCGCAAUGGGCAAAGUCCUGCCGGAGCAACCCCGAGUGAGUGAGGAAGGUCUCCGGAUCGUAAAACUCGGUUAUUAGGGAGGAAGAAAGGUGUAAUUAACUAUUCACGUCGUGACGGUACCUACUCAGAAAGCGACGGCUAACUACGUG